GAACGAAACUUCUUUAUCACCGAGUGCUUGCACUCACCGAUAAAGAGUUGAGUGGCGAACGGGUGAGUAACACGUGGGCAACCUGCCCAAAAGAGGGGGAUAACACUUGGAAACAGGUGCUAAUACCGCAUAACCAUAGUUACCGCAUGGUAACUAUGUAAAAGGUGGCUAUGCUACCGCUUUUGGAUGGGCCCGCGGCGCAUUAGCUAGUUGGUGGGGUAAAGGCUUACCAAGGCAAUGAUGCGUGGCCGAACUGAGAGGUUGAUCGGCCACAUUGGGACUGAGACACGGCCCAAACUCCUACGGGAGGCAGCAGUAGGGAAUCUUCCACAAUGGGCGAAAGCCUGAUGGAGCAACGCCGCGUGGGUGAAGAAGGUCUUCGGAUCGUAAAACCCUGUUGUUAGAGAAGAAAGUGCGUGAGAGUAACUGUUCACGUUUCGACGGUAUCUAACCAGAAAGCCACGGCUAACUACGUGCCAGCAGCCGCGGUAAUACGUAGGUGGCAAGCGUUAUCCGGAUUUAUUGGGCGUAAAGGGAACGCAGGCGGUCUUUUAAGUCUGAUGUGAAAGCCUUCGGCUUAA
rnacentral:rRNA from 1 species